rnacentral:rRNA from 1 species
GGCUGCAGCCUUAUCACCCUGCAGCCCAAGACCAGUAACUCACUGAAGCUAAGCAGGGCUGAGCCUGGUCAGUACCUAGAUGGAAGACCACAUGGGAAAACUAGGCUGCUGUUGGAA